rnacentral:rRNA from 1 species
GCCUACGGGGCGCAGCAGUGAGGAAUUUUCGUCAAUGGGCGCAAGCCUGAACGAGCAAUGCCGCGUGAACGAGGAAGGUCUUCGGAUCGUAGAGUUCUGUUGAAGGGGAAAAAGAGCGGAGAGAGGAAAUGGUCUCCGAUUGAUAUUACCCUUCGAGGAAGUCACGGCUAACUACGUGCCAGCAGCCGCGGUAAUACGUAGGUGGCGAGCGUUAUCCGGAAUGAUUGGGCGUAAAGGGUGCGUAGGCGGCCUGCUAAGUCUGGAGUGAAAGGUACCGGCUCAACCGGUACAGGCUCUGGAAACUG